GCGAGACUUUGAAAGGGAGGAUAAAGAGAGCGCUGCUCCAGCCUACGUCCUAUGUCAUCCCCACAGUGUGAGUCGUGUGAGUCUGGGAAAGCUUGGCUUCCCUGUACCAAGGCUCUGUGAUGUCAAACAGCUGCUCUAAGACUCCCAGACAGACCCUGCCCCCCACAGCAGGGCUUCACUGAUGCAAAUCCCUCCACCCCCAGCCUGUUUCCAGCACCAGCCCAGGACUGUGAUUCAUCAAGGCCGCUGUUAAUGAGACCAUCUAACUGAGCUGCUCCCUGCUCGGACUCCAUGUUCCCGUACAACUUAAUGCCCGACUGAAGUGUGACGGUGCCUACACAGCUGCCUGUGCCUGUAGAACAUGGAGAGCCCAAAAGCCUCAGCCCCAGCACAUCUGGAGACAGCCCUUACAGGAGCCCAACUUCAAAGGCAUGCAUACCAGGGCCAUGAGUGCAUGACAAUGUCCGAAGGAGUCCGCUCCCACUGCUCCAACACCAGGACCUAGGAACCUGGCACCCUGCUUAACUCGUUGAGUUGAGGCAAAGGGCAUCACUCCGAAAACAAGCUCCACCAGAAGGAGCAAGAGCUUUGCUCAUUACAUAUGUAAGCGAUGAGUUGUCUGGGUGAAACCAUGGGCUUACCUGAACAUUGUCAGAACCUUGUGAUGGGAACAAAGAAGCCUAACACAGCUGUGAGCCCCUCUCUGGCCUUUCACCCCUCAUCAGUGCACUCUGAUGUACUAAUACAAUGACACACACCCACACUUCACACCAACCUAUUAACUUGGUUUAGGGACCAAAUGCAUAUAACAGCGAGAUCAAAGAGGCCUUUCUUGGUCAUUUCAGCAUCAGUAUUGAGUGUUUUACAGCCCAUGGGAAGAACUGUGACAUCCUCCAGCCAUCGCUCAAGGAUAGUGGAACCAUCUCUAAAUCUGAUCCCCAUCCUCGUAUAUCAAUUCGGUAUCUAA